GAAGAACGCCGAGGCGGGCCGAGGCGGUCCGCGGAGUGUGCCCCGGCGCGCGCGAGCGAGCCGGAGCGUCGGAGAGAGCGAGCAAACGGAGCUUCCGCGUGUGAUACGUGCGUUUCUCUUCUUCUUCUUCGUCCUCCUCCCUUUUUUUUUUUUUUUGGUUUAUUUCCUUUUAUUAACGCGCCGAUGACCGUGACGCGGUGCGCGCGAAUCGUGUUUCCGUUUCGCGAAGGGCGAAAUUUACAACGAUGAUAAAUACACCUCCGGGGCGAGCUCUCCGAGAAGCCGGAAGCGAGAUCGCUUAGCGCCUUUACUCCCCGACGCCCUUCCGAGCGUCCUGUAACGUAUAACGGAACGAUAUGUAUAAGUCGCGCGUCGUCCUCCCGACAACUCGUCGUCGUGUCACGCCGACCGACGUACAUAACCUUACGUACGUACGUCGCGCGUUUAAUGUCGCGUAAGUUAUUCGAUAUUUGCCGGGUAAUGUCGCGUAACUCGUUCGAUAUUGCGACAGUGAUAUUUCUAACGUUCUUUUACGCGGCGCGGACCUCUCUCGCGACGAUAAACACUCCCCGUCCGACCCGAACACUUCGCGAACCAUCGACCUCUACGUUCGAUCGCUCCUCUCCGUUGAUGUGCCGGGGCUGCUUUCUGGUAGGUAAUGGCAAUUGACGCGGGGCAACGAUUUCGCAUCCGCACGGCAUAUUUAUUUUGCCGCGAUGGUUAUGGACAAUGGCCGUCGAACGAGUGACUUGAAACGUGGGUACGUUCGCAGCGAAUUCAACCAAUUCUGUGUGAAGUAAUUUUGUAAUAACGCACGUGCUAUUGACGUACCAGGCGGCUGAUCACACACGCAAGUUUUUUGUCCCGGCGGCGUGGGAAAAGCAAUCUUCGGGGAUUAUGCACAAGGGAGAGCACGAGCGUUUCUGAAGGAUGUCAUGAAAGGAUUAGACUUGUUGGAUGUGAGUACUCAACACGUCUAUCCAAUUAUCCUUCGAGACUUAUAAUACGGAAUAAACAGAUUAACAUAGAUACAGUACGUACACUGUUUAUCGUUAGAGACACGAUAGUCCCAAACGCUAUAUAUAUAAGUCAAUCAAAAUAUUAUCUAAAAAAUGCGAAUCAUACGUUUCUUCAUAAUUGUAUUAAGAUGAAAUAGAGUAAAUGGUCUAAUUACUGACAGUGUCCUAAAUAAUGGAACUUUAAUAAUGCUUUCCUUUAAUCAAAUUUCAUUAAAGUACUCUUAUUUUUAAUGAAAUAUUAUAAAAACAAAUAUACUCCUUAAGAAUUCAAAAUAAAAUUAAAUAUAAUUAUGUCAUAAUACAAUUUAUAUAUCUAAAAACACUUAAGCUCGAAUUUCUAGUAUUAGACACACUGUUAGUAAUUAAAUUACUUACCCAAUUAAUUAUUAUCUAGAAACUUUAAUUUAUUGUAUAAUAUUAAAGCCGCGCCAUCCAAAUGUUACUUCAACAAAGAGUAUUUUAAAUCGUGAAUGUUGAAAAAAUUCCGGAACUUGCAAAAAAUACAGCAUACAAUGUCCACACUAGCUGGUUAGUCCAAGUUUUAAGCCGUGUUUACCUGAAACCAUGUUUUUCCACGAUAAUUCAUGACUGUUACAGGUUUUGCGACUUGUUAGCGCGAUAUGAAACCUUUUAAUAGACGAUGCAUAUAACGGUUGUUAAAAAAUAAAUAAAUUUUAUUUUCUUUCAAAUUCAGAAAUUUCAUUUUCAGCUGAUUUAGCAGUUCCAUUUUU